UGCAUACACACAUGAAGGAUAAUGAA
rnacentral:piRNA from 1 species